CCGUAGCAGAACCCACACAACCGUUCCUACACACACGGAUGGAGAACGGGAGCUGGCUUGGCGGUGAUGUGUUUAGACUUUGUGCUCUAUUUAUCUAUUUCUUAGGUCAUUUCUACCGGGAGAAAAUCUAAGUCUUCCAUGAUGAAACUUGUGUUUGUUUUUGCUGUGGUUGCGUAUUUCUUUGCAGAAAAUCUAUCACUUCCCGUUGGAGAAGAACGACAGCGAGAGGAUGUGGUAACACGGUGCUUGGUUGAGGUCCUGUCCAAGGCGUUGACCAAACCUGACUCUCGCCCUCUGGAUCAGGAAUGUAAAGAUAUUCUCAA